rnacentral:rRNA from 1 species
GCUAAAAAUAUAGCCUUAUAUAUCCUAAUGUAAAACCCCUUUUACACAAUUAAAUUAAAACAUUUUAUAAACUUAGUAGGGGAGAUUAAAAAGUUUCUUAGAGCUAUAACAAUAGUACCGCAAGGGAUGUGUGAAAUAAAAAUGAAAUAAAACUCAAGCAAUAAAAAGUAAAGCUUAACCCUUGUACCUUUUGCAUCAUGGUUCAACUAGUCUAACCAAGCAAAAAGAAUUAAAGUUUGACCCCCCGAAACUAAGUGAGCUACUUCAGGGCAGCUUAAUGAGCCAACCCGUCUCUGUUGCAAAAGAGUGGGAUGACCUUCAAGUAGAGGUGACAGACCUAACGAACUUAGUGAUAGCUGGUUAUUCAGGAAAAGAAUAUUAGUUCAACUUAAAAUUAUAUAAAUUACUAAAAAUUAACCCAUAAUUUUAAAGUAAUUCAAACAAGGUACAGCCUGUUUGAACUAGGAUACAACCUCUUCUAAUGGGUAAUUUAUAAUGAUUACAACUAAGUAGGCCUAAAAGCAGCCACCUUUAGAAUAGCGUCAAAGCUUAUUUAUUUAUCUUAAUUAAUACACUAUCUUUUAUUAACCCUUUUUCACUACUGAAUAAUUUUAUAAUAUUAUAAAAAUCUUUAUGUUGGAACUAGUAACAAGAAGACAAACUUCUCUUUAGUGCAAGUAUAACUCGGGCAGGAUAAACCACCGACAAUCAACACCCAUGAACCUUAAAUAGUAACUUCACAUGAAAACUCUAUUAUAUAUAAUGUUAAUCUUACACCAGAGCACUAAAAGAAAGAUUUUAAAAAAAGGAAGGAACUCGGCAAACAUUAACCUCGCCUGUUUACCAAAAACAUCGCCUUCUGCUUUUUGAUAGAAGGUCCAGCCUGCCCAGUGAACUAAUUCAACGGCCGCGGUAUCCUAACCGUGCGAAGGUAGCGUAAUCACUUGUUCUUUAAAUGAGGACUAGUAUGAAUGGCAUCACGAGGGUUAUACUGUCUCCCUUUUUUAAUCAGUUAAACUAAUCUCCCCGUGAAGAAGCGAGGAUAUAUAUAUAAGACGAGAAGACCCUAUGGAGCUUUAAAUUAUGCAACAAUAGUUAUAUUUUUGUAAUUUUUAAGAAUAAUUCUAUAUUUAAACUUUAUGAUUGCUAAUUUUUGGUUGGGGUGACCGCGGAGUACAAAGUAACCUCCACAAUGAAAGAAACUUUUUCUGAACUGAGAACUACAGUUCUAAGUACUAAUAACUUAACAUUCUUUGACCCAAUUUAUUGAUCAACGAACAAAGUUACCCUAGGGAUAACAGCGCAAUCCACUUCAAGAGCUCCUAUCGACAAGUGGGUUUACGACCUCGAUGUUGGAUCAGGGUAUCCAAGUGGUGUAGCCGCUACUAACGGUUCGUUGUUCAACGAUAAAA